rnacentral:tRNA from 1 species
AGCAUGAUCCCCUAGCCUGGUCGAUGGGGCCGGCCUUAAGAGCCGGUGAGCGAACGCUCCGCCUGGGUUCAAAUCCCAGUCAUGCUA